AACUUUAAUAGGAUGCAAUGCUCAAAAAUUCAUGGAUGAUAUAAAAGAGAAAAAAAUCAGAGUUCAUUCUUUCAAAAGUUUGUUCUCAACAUCGGAAAGACAUACAAGUUCCUUGUAAAGUUGGAUGAGAACUCAAAGGAUGAACGUGCACAAGGAAAGAUAAUAG